UAGUUGGAUAAAGUUACUCGCUAAAUUUAAGAUUGGGCCUCUAGAAAAUAGUUAUCCUGAACAAAAAGGUUAUUAAAUUAUCGGGUUCUAUUACGGUUUUAUAGAAAAAAAAGGCAAACGAAAAAGCCCUGACCGUCGAAGAGGUUCUGAAGCUCUGGAUUAUUUGGUGGGUGGAAGACAGAUGAAAGUGUUUCCGGUGUCGUUGUCUGUGGUUUCAAGUUUUGUUUCAGGCAUAUCAUUGCUGGGCCCACCAACCGAGAUUUAUGUAUAUGAAACGCAAUAUGCAUUUAUCCUUGUGACGAUUGGCUUCUCUGCAGUCAUUUCUUGGUACAUUUUCCUGCCCGUGUUUUAUAAUUUACAAUUAAC